CAAAUACAAAUUUUGAAGAUUCAAAAUGUGUUAUCAAUUUCGGAUUUUAAAUUGUUCCAAAAGUGUAUUUACAUGAACACCAAAUAACGACAGGGAGUAAAUUGAAUGCGAAUUGUUUGAAAGUAUUUGUGAAAAUUCUGUGAGAUUUUAAGUGAGGUAUGGUUUUGUUGAGGUUAUGUUUCUAAAAACAAACUGCAAGAUUUAAGUUUUUGUCUGGAAUGGCAACGUUCCAAAAUCGGGGAAGAAAUCCUUGCACCAGCUACAAAAGAGAGGGUAGAACUAAGCAAAACGUUUUUGAAUGUUUGCCUUCAUCUGGUGAAUACCAGGGCGGAUGUGAGGGGAAAAAAUUCAGAACAGAGGGUAGAGCUAACCAAGAUGUCUACGAGUGCUGCC